AUACACCUGCUACAUAAUACAAUCCCACACUUUACUGUUAUUUGGUCCUUUGAGGAUCUUUCAAUUUUGGAAAUAAGUUGCAUCCAUAGAGCUACGUCUUUGAAGAUUACCUGGCCUCACCUGGCACAUAGUGGGGUCCUGAGGGAUGAGAGUGUAGGAUGGGGAAAGGCCUGUAUUGCCAAACUGCAACACUGGAAUCCAGAGAAGCUCAUUUCUCCGCUCAUUUGGAAACCCCGAGGCACUGAGGACGCAUACGGAUUUUCCAUCCCUUAAGUGAUGUAUUGGUUGAAAGCCACAAUGCAUUAUAGACGGGCGUUCCUGGAACAAUGGCUUUUUCUCCAAGGCCACAGUUCUCUUCCAGGACAUCACUGAAAAUGAGAAGAGCACAAACAUAUGCUCGGUGGGGCAGCCUUCCUGAGGAGUCUUGCCAUUUCACAUUUUCCCUAACAACUCAGAAAACAAGCACUCACAGAGGAAGGACAUAAUCUGAAACAUUUCUUUCUAAUUCCCUCCUGCUCAGAACAAACCUUGAGAUCACCAUUGUGCAGCCUACCACGGAAAACACAGUCUCAUCAUAGAACGUACACGUCAAAGUACAGCACUUUUUUAUUUCUAUAGAACAAGUUGAGUACCUGCUUCACAGUUUAUCAGUUCCAUUGAUAAUGAGAACAAUAUAAGCAACUGCCUAGCUUCUGAGUCACAUGGUAUUUGAUUAUUGUUCUUUUCCCAGACAAAGAUACUAAGUAGUAAAAUUAUGGGCCCAGUGACUAAUGACAAGCUACAUUAUCUCUAAGUAGGUUUCAGACUAAGUUUAUCAGGGGUUACCUGUGUCUGACCAGCCACCCCAGCUGCCAAGUACUCAUUGCUGUGGCAGGCUGUUCCUCUAUUUAAUCCACUCCAGGGGCCCUUUCUCAGGAGGGUAUAACCCAGAGAACCCACCACUGCCACUAGGGUGCUUCCCCUGUAUGUAACAUCGACCUCUGUUGUUGUUCCUAUCCCAUUUCAUGGAAAUCAUCUGUUCACAUAUCUGUCCUGCACACUAGAUUGUGAACUCUUUGAGGACUUAUGUCUUAUUUAUCUCCAGAGUUUCAGUGCCUAGAGCAAAAUAACUGUUCACUGUGUGUUUGUUGAGCCAGUGAACAAAACAAUGAACGGCCUUCAGUUAGGCCCAGUGGUUAAAAAGAUGCACUCUGGUGGCAGAUGUCUGUGGUUUUCAGGUCUGGCUGCCCCACUUUUCAACUGUGAGACAUGGCACAAUUAACCCAUCUGUGCCUCAGUUAAUCUGUUAAGUGGGGUUAAGAAUAGAACUUCCUGCAUAGGUUUGUUGAGUAGUGUGUAUGAAGCAUGUAGAAAAAUGUAGGCACACUAAUGUUUAAUACCUGUUCACUGUGGUUGAUAUCGUCAUUAAUAUGAUUAUUAUUACUAGGCAAUAAUAAUACCACUACUAAUACUGGAAUAAUUCCUGACAUGGGUUCAAGUUCUUUAUACCAGAGCCUUUGACAGUAAGGAGGCAAGCCAGAUAUAUUCCACAUGGUGGACAGACAGCUGAGUGAUGUUUGAAAUGCACUGUCAUCUGUGAGCAAAAUGUAGCUGAUAUUGGGCAAGUACUUCCUAUGAGCCAGGCAUGUAUUAGAUGUUUUAUAUAUGUGACCUCUUUUUUCUUCAAUAGAGUUUAAUUUUUAGAAGUUUUAGGUUCACAACAAAACUGAGGGGAAGGUACAGAGAUUUCCAAUUUACCCCCUGCUCCCACACAUGCGUAGCCUCCACAGUUAUCAACAUCCCCAACUAGAGUGGGACAUUUGUUACAACUGAUGAACCUGCACUGACACAUCACAAUCACCUCAAGACUAUAGCUUAUACUUGGGUUCACUCUUGGUGUUGUACAUUCUGUGGGUUUGGACAAAUGUAUAAUGACACGUCUCCAUCAUUAUAGUAUCAUACACAGUAGUUUCACUGUGCCAAAAAUCCAUUGUAUGUGACCUCUUUUCAUUUUCAAAACAACUAUGAGAACAAUUAUUCUUCAUCCCAUUUUUAAAAGAUGAGAAAAAUGAGGCUUGGAGAGGUUAAACAAUUUACUAAAGAUUAUACAUUAACAAGUGGAUUAUCUGGCCCCAGAGUCCAUGAGCUUUCUGUUCCUGGUUGCUUUCCAAUGGAACAAGCAGAGAGCAGAUGAAUCACAGGAGUAUGAUUAAUGUUCCCUAGAGCAGCACCCAAUUUAUGAGGACAUAAGCCAGUGUCACCAGGCCUCUUCAGCCUGGGGUGCUAAUGAGGUCCCAUGAACAGUAACAUACAAAUAAUGGUGGUUCUUAGGCCUCCUUCCAGCCCUGAAUGAAGCCCCUUGGAUAUAUUCCUGGGAGUUGAAGUACACAAUUCUUUGAAAAAAUAUUUUAAUGAAAAUCACUAUUAAAUUAUUACACAGUCAUAAUCAAGUAAUAACACACAACAUUUCCCCAAGGUGUCUGAACUACACUCUGCCCAGCUACAAAACUCAAAGGAGGGACUUCAUAUAUUCUAACCCAUGGUCAGCCACAGCUCAUUUCUCAAAGAGGCAUUGAUGUAACUGGGUGUUUUUAAAUCACAACAUUGUUUUGAAAUCACUAAAACCAUCAAGUUGUAAAUACUAUUAUCUUCAUCUUACGGGUGGAGAAACAGCAUUUUUGAGAGUUAAAUGCCUUGUCUAAAGUCCUAUAGUUAAUAAGGAGCAGAGUAGGAUUGAAACUCAGAUUUGCAGCUUCCACACUGACUCUCUGACAACCAGCUGUGGAAAAGCUUUGUGACAGGCACUGUACCAAGGGCUAGAGGUGGAAAAGUGAGUAAGACAUAGUUCCUACCCUUGCUGGGGAGACAGACCUAUGAAUAAUUAUAAUAAUAUGUAAAUAUGGUGGUAGAAGAUAUACAUAAAAUACCACUGGAACACAUGGAAUUCUUUAAAAGGAUGUGACAUUUGAGCUGGGUGUUGGAGGGUGAGUAGGAGUUUGCCCAGAAAGGGAAGUACGUUGUAAGCAGAAGGCAAGGCUUGUGCGUGGAGUGUGAGGGAAUCAGGUUGAGUGAUUUCUUGAUUCACGCUGCAUUUUAAAAGGUGAGACAUUUUAAAUUAUGUUAUUCAUGACACAAUACUAAUAAACGUUGCAAAAGUGUCCUUUAAGCAUGUCUACUCGGUAAGUCCUAAAAUAUAUGUAACUAAUUAAAGUCACUUAAGACUGGUGUAUUUUAAGACGAUUAUCUUGCCUUUUUGUCCUUAAUUUAGCUCAGUGAUUCUUGGUUGGGGCCAUUUUGAA